CGUGUAGGCGGUGCGGUAAGUUGGGCGUGAAAUCCCCGAGCUUAACUCGGGUGGGCCGUUCAAGACUGCCGUGCUAGGGUGCGGGAGAGGGAAGUGGAAUUUCCGGUGUAGCGGUGAAAUGCGUAGAUAUCGGGAGGAACACCUGCGGCGAAGGCGGCUUCCUGGACCGUAACCGACGCUGAGGCGCGAAAGCUAGGGGAGCAAACAGGAUUAGAUACCCUGGUAGUCCUAGCCCUAAACGAUGAGCACUGGGUGUGGCCCCUCACGAGGCCGUGCCGAAGCUAACGCAUUAAGUGCUCCGCCGUGGGGAGUACGGUCGCAAGGCUAGAA
rnacentral:rRNA from 1 species